AGCUGGAGAACCAGCGUCUGGAAGAUGAACUGCUGGCACUGAAGGUCAGAAGGGAGAGGAGAGCAGAUGCUGGCUCACGGGCAGCCCAGCGGCACACGCAGGAACUGGCCCGGCUCCAGGCAGAGGUGGGGAUGCUGCGAUGCCACGCAGAGCAGACAAGGCCAUGGCUGCACCCCGCUGUCUGCCCAUACCCUGUAGCCCACCCACUACCACCAGCCCUUGCUGUGCCAGAACUUCUCAUGGAGCCCCCCAGGCCAGCACUGGGGCCUGGCAGAGCCACAGCCCAUGCGCCCCCUGGACACACCCUCACCCCCUUUGUGACCCUGGAGGACCCUCCUCCUGCUCAGGAGCCCCCAGCACAGGGCAGGGCUCCCCAGA